UGAGGAAUAUUGGUCAAUGGGCGAGAGCCUGAACCAGCCAAAUCGCGUGAAGGAAGACUGCCUUAUGGGUUGUAAACCUCUUUUAUACAGGAAUAAAAAAGGGGACGUGUCCCUUAUUGCAUGUACUGUAUGAAUAAGCAUCGGCUAACUCCGUGCCAGCAGCCGCGGUAAUACGGAGGAUGCGAGCGUUAUCCGGAUUUAUUGGGUUUAAAGGGUGCGCAGGCGGGCUUUUAAGUCAGCGGUGAAAUCUCGGGGCUUAACUCCGAAACUGCCGUUGAAACUGGGAGUCUUGAGUAUGGAUGAAGUAGGCGGAAUUCGUUGUGUAGCGGUGACAUGCUUAGAUAUAACGAGGAACUCCGAUUGCGUAGGCAGCUUACUAAGCCAUAACUGACGCUCAAGCACGAAAGCGUGGGGAUCAAACAGGAUUAGAUACCCUGGUAGUCCACGCCGUAAACGAUGAUUACUAGUUGUAUGCGAUAUACCGUAUGUGACUAAGCGAAAGCGAUAAGUAAUCCACCUGGGGAGUACGCCGGCAACGGUGAAACUCAAAUGAAUUGACGGGGUCAUAGCUG
rnacentral:rRNA from 1 species